rnacentral:rRNA from 1 species
UGGGGAAUAUUGCACAAUGGGCGAAAGCCUGAUGCAGCAACGCCGCGUGAGUGAUGAAGGCCUUCGGGUCGUAAAACUCUGUCCUCAAGGAAGAUAAUGACGGUACUUGAGGAGGAAGCCCCGGCUAACUACGUGCCAGCAGCCGCGGUAAUACGUAGGGGGCUAGCGUUAUCCGGAUUUACUGGGCGUAAAGGGUGCGUAGGUGGUUUUUUAAGUCAGGAGUGAAAGGCUACGGCUCAACCGUAGUAAGCUCUUGAAACUGGGAAACUUGAGUGCAGGAGAGGAAAGUGGAAUUCCUAGUGUAGCGGUGAAAUGCGUAGAUAUUAGGAGGAACACCAGUAGCGAAGGCGGCUUUCUGGACUGUAACUGACACUGAGGCACGAAAGCGUGGGGAGCAAACA